rnacentral:rRNA from 1 species
GACGAACGCUGGCGGCGUGCCUAAUACAUGCAAGUUGAGCGAUGAAGAUUGGUGCUUGCACCAAUUUGAAGAGCAGCGAACGGGUGAGUAACGCGUGGGGAAUCUGCCUUUGAGCGGGGGACAACAUUUGGAAACGAAUGCUAAUACCGCAUAACAACUUUAAACAUAAGUUUUAAGUUUGAAAGAUGCAAUUGCAUCACUCAAAGAUGAUCCCGCGUUGUAUUAGCUAGUUGGUGAGGUAAAGGCUCACCAAGGCGAUGAUACAUAGCCGACCUGAGAGGGUGAUCGGCCACAUUGGGACUGAGACACGGCCCAAACUCCUACGGGAGGCAGCAGUAGGGAAUCUUCGGCAAUGGACGAAAGUCUGACCGAGCAACGCCGCGUGAGUGAAGAAGGUUUUCGGAUCGUAAAACUCUGUUGGUAGAGAAGAACGUUGGUGCGAGUGGAAAGCUCAUCAAGUGACGGUAACUACCCAGAAAGGGACGGCUAACUACGUG